CCUGGAAGAAUGUGGUGAGCACCCUCACGGCACUCAGGGCCGAAGCUGUCGCCACCGACACAGAGACAGCUCCAGCUGGCGAUGAGGAGCCGCAGGAACAACGCCCUGUGCCCUCUGUGGAGCUCGCUAACCCUUCAGACAAGGCUGGCGAUGAGGAGGGCCGCUCUAGGGAGACAGACAGAUUCCUGGUGCCCGAUGCCCCCUCUAAACCACAAGGGAAGCAACCUGAUGUCAGUGAGCAAGGAAGUGUCACCGUGUCAUCUGGAAGCGACUUUCCAGACAAUAUCAGCGUGAUUUCAUCCUUGGGAACCACCACUAUGUUCUCUGUACUCCAUAUUGACA